rnacentral:rRNA from 1 species
AAACUGAAGAGUUUGAUCAUGGCUCAGAUUGAACGCUGGCGGCAGGCCUAACACAUGCAAGUCGAACGGUAACAGGACUAGCUUGCUAGUUGCUGACGAGUGGCGGACGGGUGAGUAACGCGUAGGAAUCUACCAGGUAGUGGGGGACAACAGUUGGAAACGACUGCUAAUACCGCAUACGCCCUAUGGGGGAAAGGAGGGGAUCUUCGGACCUUUCGCUAUCUGAUGAGCCUGCGUGAGAUUAGCUUGUUGGUGAGGUAAUGGCUCACCAAGGCGACGAUCUCUAGCUGGUCUGAGAGGAUGAUCAGCCACACUGGGACUGAGACACGGCCCAGACUCCUACGGGAGGCAGCAGUGGGGAAUAUUG